rnacentral:piRNA from 1 species
GGAGAAUGCGUGUGUCUGGACAGGG